GAUCAUGAUAACUAGUCGAAUCGACAGGCCUUGUGCCGGCGAUGGCUCAUUCAAAUUUCUUCCCUAUCAACUUUCGAUGUUUGGGUAUUGGCCAAACAUGGUGGCAACGGGUAACGGAGGGUUAGGGCUCGACCCCGGAGAAGGAGCCUGAAAAACGGCUACUACAUCCAAGGAAGGCAGCAGGCGCGCAAAUUACCCAAUCCCGACACGGGGAGGUAGUGACAAUAAAUACUGAUACAGGGCUCUUUUGGGUCUUGUAAUCGGAAUGAGUACAAUUUAAAUCCCUUAACGAAGAACAAUUGGAGGGCAAGUCUGGUGCCAGCAGCCGCGGUAAUUCCAGCUCCAAUAGCGUAUAUUAAAGUUGUUGUGGUUAAAAAGCUCGUAGUUGAACCUUGGGCCUGGCUGGCCGGUCCGCCUCACCGCGUGCACUGGUCCGGCCGGGCCUUUCCCUCUGCGGAACCCCAUGCCCUUCACUGGGUGUGGCGGGGAACCAGGACUUUUACG
rnacentral:rRNA from 1 species